UGUAGCAAUACAUYGCUGGCGACCGGCAAACGGGUGCGGAACACGUACRCAACCUUCCUUYRAGUGGRGAAUAGCCCARRGAAAYUUGGAUUAAUACYYCGUAAMAUUAUGAGAUGGCAUCAUUUUAUAAUUAWAGYUCCGRCGCUUGAAGAUGGGYGUGCGSCUGAUUAGGUAGUUGGYGAGGGUAACGGCCCACCAAGCCWACGAUCAGYAACUGGUGUGAGAGCACGACCAGUCACACGGGCACUGAGACACGGGCCCGACUCCYACGGGAGGCAGCAGUAAGGAAUAUUGGUCAAUGGACGCAAGUCUGAACCAGCCAUGCCGCGUGGAGGAUGAAGGUCCUCUGGAUUGUAAACUUCUUUUAUCUGGGAAGAAAYCCAUWUUUUCUAAKRUGGUUGACGGUACCAGAUGAAUAAGCACCGGCUAACUCCGUGCCAGCAGCCGCGGUAAUACGGAGGGUGCAAGCGUUAUCCGGAUUCACUGGGUUUAAAGGGUGCGUAGGYGGGYWGKUAAGUCMGUGGUGAAAUCUCCGAGCUUAACUCGGAAACUGCCGUGGAUACUAUCAAUCUUGAAUGUCGUGGAGGUAAGCGGAAUAUGUCAUGUAGCGNUGAAAUGCUUANAUAUGACAUAGAACACUAAUUGCGUAGGCA
rnacentral:rRNA from 1 species